rnacentral:rRNA from 1 species
GACGAACGCUGGCGGCGUGCCUAAUACAUGCAUGUAGAACGCUGAAGGAGGAGCUUGCUUCUCUGGAUGAGUUGCGAACGGGUGAGUAACGCGUAGGUAACCUGCCUGGUAGCGGGGGAUAACUAUUGGAAACGAUAGCUAAUACCGCAUAAGAGUAGAUGUUGCAUGACAUUAGCUUAAAAGGUGCAAUUGCAUCACUACCAGAUGGACCUGCGUUGUAUUAGCUAGUUGGUGGGGUAACGGCUCACCAAGGCGACGAUACAUAGCCGACCUGAGAGGGGGAUCGGCCACACUGGGACUGAGACACGGCCCAGACUCCUACGGGAGGCAGCAGUAGGGAAUCUUCGGCAAUGGACGGAAGUCUGACCGAGCAACGCCGCGUGAGUGAAGAAGGUUUUCGGAUCGUAAAGCUCUGUUGUAAGAGAAGAACGAGUGUGAGAGUGGAAAGUUCACACUGUGACGGUAUCUUACCAGAAAGGGACGGCUAACUACGUG